ensembl:lncRNA
CCCCGUUUUGUUAUUUUUGAGGGUUUUUUUCCUUCCUGUUUUUUUUUUUAAUUUUCUUUAAAUUGUUUUUUUUCCUUUUCUUUUAUUUAAUUUUUUCUUUUUUUUCUUCAUUUUUUAAUUAAUUUUUUUUUAUUAAUAUUUUAAGAAUUCCUUUUUUGUCCCUAUUUUCAAUUUUUAAUUUUUUUUAUUCAUUCGUUCGUGCAUUUCUUUCCGUGUGCGUGCGCGCGUGAGUAGGCCCGGCCCGGCCCGGCCCGGCCCGGCCCAGCACGCCCCCCCGUCGGUAAGUGGCUGCGGUGCCGAGGCAGUGGGUAGACCUGGCGGCCGGCUUUACGACCACCACCCCCCCCUCGCCGUUUUUGUUCUUAUUUUUG